rnacentral:rRNA from 1 species
AGCGAACGCUGGCGGCAGGCCUAACACAUGCAAGUCGAACGAAGUCUUCGGACUUAGUGGCGGACGGGUGAGUAACACGUGGGAACGUGCCUUUAGGUUCGGAAUAACUCAGGGAAACUUGUGCUAAUACCGAAUGUGCCCUUCGGGGGAAAGAUUUAUCGCCUUUAGAGCGGCCCGCGUCUGAUUAGCUAGUUGGUGGGGUAAUGGCCCACCAAGGCUACGAUCAGUAGCUGGUCUGAGAGGAUGACCAGCCACAUUGGGACUGAGACACGGCCCAAACUCCUACGGGAGGCAGCAGUGGGGAAUCGUGCGCAAUGGGCGAAAGCCUGACGCAGCCAUGCCGCGUGGAUGAUGAAGGUCUCAGGAUUGUAAAAUCCUUUCACCGGUGAAGAUAAUGACUGUAGCCGGAGAAGAAGCCCCGGCUAACUUCGUGCCAGCAGCCGCCGUAAGAC